GUGAUAAAAGUUCUGUUUGGUGAUUAAACAGCUAGACAAAGAGACAUAUUACAGCUUUAAAUCAACAAAUCUGACAGCUCCUGAUGGCAAAGCUUUCCGUUGAAAGUACUUUGGGGGCUGUAUAUGGCAUUGUACAGAGACAUGGGUCUGUAGGCCUCUGGUUGGCCACUUUGUGUGGCAAUGCUUUUGUGGAUGGGGUUCAAAGUGCAAGCAGUUGCAGAUCGCUUAAGGAUUAAGUUUUGAAUGCUUACCACAAGCAACCUGUUACUCACUGCAAAGUGACAUUGAUGAGUUAAAGGAAGCAUGCAGACUGGAGUAUUCACUUCCUGGAGCUGCCUGGAGAAGUAUUACAUACAUCCAACAGUUUAAAACAACAUAGAAGGUCACCGUUUUAUGGUUGUAGCAAGCAGAAGUCUGAAGCCAAAGUGUUAGCAGGAUCAAGUUCCUGUGAAAGUGAUCGGGUCUCACUAUGUAGCCCUGGCUGGACUAGUACUCUAUAUGCAGACCACGAUGGCCUGGAACCCACAGAGAUUUGCUUGCUUCUGUCCCUUGAGUGCUGAAAUUAAAGGUGUAUGCCACAGUACUCCAAUUUCUUGAAUGGUGUCAGAGUUUAGGUAUAAAUAGAUAUCAAGAACAGAUGUAAAAUUCUUGAAGGGCA